rnacentral:rRNA from 1 species
GAAUAUUGGACAAUGGGCGAAAGCCUGAUCCAGCGACGCCGCGUGGGUGAAGAAGGCCUGCGGGUUGUAAAGCCCUUUCGGUGGGGAUGAAAAGCUUUGACCUAACACGUCAGGGUCUUGACCUAACCCAAGAAAGAAGCACCGGCUACCUCUGUGCCAGCAGCCGCGGUAAUACAGAGGGUGCGAGCGUUAAUCGGAAUUACUGGGCGUAAAGCGCGCGUAGGUGGCUUUGCAAGUCGAUUGUGAAAGCCCCGGGCUUAACCUGGGAACUGCAGUCGAGACUGCUUUGCUUGAGUAUGGGAGAGGGAGGUGGAAUUUCCGGUGUAGCGGUGAAAUGCGUAGAUAUCGGAAGGAACAUCAGUGGCGAAGGCGACCUCCUGGACCAAUACUGACACUCAAGUGCGAAAGCGUGGGGAGCAAACAGG